rnacentral:rRNA from 1 species
UCCCUACGGGAGGCAGCAGUGGGGAAUAUUGCACAAUGGGGGGAACCCUGAUGCAGCGACGCCGCGUGGGUGAAGGAGCACCUCGGUGCGUAAAGCCCUAUCGGCAGGGAAGAAAAGCGAACAGGUUCGCCUGGACGGUACCUGACUAAGAAGCCCCGGCUAACUACGUGCCAGCAGCCGCGGUAAUACGUAGGGGGCAAGCGUUAUCCGGAUUUACUGGGUGUAAAGGGAGCGUAGACGGCAUGGCAAGUCAGAUGUGAAAGCCCGGGGCUCAACCCCGGGACUGCAUUUAAAACUGUCAGGCU